CUGGAGGAUGAUUAGAUGUAUUAUUGCUGGUCAUAACUACAAAAUGCAAAACAAAAUACCAUGCUAUGAACCGACUAAUCUAUAAAAAUAAUGAAUAAUGAAGGCACAGCAAUUAGGCACAGAUCAUAUAUUAUACAUGGAUUUUCCCUAAAUGAUACGGGGCUGCAAGCCAGCAAUUGCAAUUCAUAUCUCAACGAAUUUUCUCAAUCACACGGAGUUUGGCACUCCUAGACCUGCGAUUUAGUCUUUCCUCCUCUUCAGAUGGUGUUAUUGGUCUCU
rnacentral:lncRNA from 1 species